rnacentral:rRNA from 1 species
GAUGAACGCUGGCGGCGUGCCUAAUACAUGCAAGUCGAGCGAACAGACGAGGAGCUUGCUCCUCUGACGUUAGCGGCGGACGGGUGAGUAACACGUGGAUAACCUACCUAUAAGACUGGGAUAACUUCGGGAAACCGGAGCUAAUACCGGAUAAUAUAUUGAACCGCAGGGUUCAUUAGUGAAAGACGGUUUUGCUGUCACUUAUAGAUGGAUCCGCGCCGCAUUAGCUAGUUGGUAAGGUAACGGCUUACCAAGGCAACGAUGCGUAGCCGACCUGAGAGGGUGAUCGGCCACACUGGAACUGAGACACGGUCCAGACUCCUACGGGAGGCAGCAGUAGGGAAUCUUCCGCAAUGGGCGAAAGCCUGACGGAGCAACGCCGCGUGAGUGAUGAAGGUCUUCGGAUCGUAAAACUCUGUUAUUAGGGAAGAACAAAUGUGUAAGUAACUAUGCACGUCUUGACGGUACCUAAUCAGAAAGCCACGGCUAACUACGUG